rnacentral:rRNA from 1 species
AUCCUGGCUCAGGACGAACGCGGCGGCGUGCCUAAUACAUGCAAGUCGAGCGCGGGAAGCAAGCUGAUCCUCUUCGGAGGUGACGCUUGUGGAACGAGCGGCGGACGGGUGAGUAACACGUGGGCAACCUGCCUGUAAGACUGGGAUAACCCCGGGAAACCGGGGCUAAUACCGGAUAAUACUUUUCAUCACCUGAUGGAAAGUUGAAAGGUGGCUUUUAGCUACCACUUACAGAUGGGCCCGCGGCGCAUUAGCUAGUUGGUGAGGUAACGGCUCACCAAGGCAACGAUGCGUAGCCGACCUGAGAGGGUGAUCGGCCACACUGGGACUGAGACACGGCCCAGACUCCUACGGGAGGCAGCAGUAGGGAAUCUUCCGCAAUGGACGAAAGUCUGACGGAGCAACGCCGCGUGAGUGAUGAAGGUUUUCGGAUCGUAAAGCUCUGUUGUUAGGGAAGAACAAGUGCCGUUCGAAUAGGGCGGCACCUUGACGGUACCAACCAGAAAGCCC